AAUGAACGCUGGCGGCAUGCUUUACACAUGCAAGUCGAACGGUAACAGGCCGCAAGGUGCUGACGAGUGGCGAACGGGUGAGUAAUGCAUCGGAACGUGCCCAGUCGUGGGGGAUAACGCAGCGAAAGCUGCGCUAAUACCGCAUACGAGCUGUGGAUGAAAGCGGGGGACCGUAAGGCCUCGCGCGAUUGGAGCGGCCGAUGUCAGAUUAGGUAGUUGGUGGGGUAAAGGCUCACCAAGCCAACGAUCUGUAGCUGGUCUGAGAGGACGACCAGCCAUACUGGGACUGAGACACGGCCCAGACUCCUACGGGAGGCAGCAGUGGGGAAUUUUGGACAAUGGGCGCAAGCCUGAUCCAGCAAUGCCGCGUGCAGGAAGAAGGCCUUCGGGUUGUAACUGCUUUUGUACGGAACGAAAAGGCUCUGGUUAAUACCUGGGGCUCAUGACGGUACCGUAAGAAUAAGCACCGGCUAACUACGUGCCAGCAGCCGCGGUAACAC
rnacentral:rRNA from 1 species